CCGGGGGCCUCGCCUGGACCGGGUGACCCACUCUUAGGUGACAGCCUCCCCUGGUACAAGGUCUUCAGCCAGCGGCCCACAGGGGGUUCCCUGUGCCCCUGUCCCCAGCAUCCUGCCAGACCUCCCGGCACACGAGAUGUCCCCUAGGGCUGUCCCCUCCCUCCCUGACAGCAGAAAGCCCAAGUUCAAGGCUUCAUUCUGCCACGCACUGACUUUGUGACCAUGGAGGAGUCACCUCACCUUUCAGAGCCUUACUUUUCUCCUCUGGAAAAUGGGACUAUUCCUGCCUACCCCACUCACCCCACAGGUUUGGCCAAGGAUUGAAAAGGUAGCCCAGCCUGAGAAUGCUGGAUGUUAUGAAGGCGUUGGACUCGUCUGGAGCAACUGUCCGCAGCGCUGACCACAGGCCGCUGGGAAGCUGAAGCCGCCUCGGGGUGCGGUAAUUCACAAACCCCAUGAAGAAGCCCCAGGACCCUCCCAGCACACCCCAGACCCCGGAGGAUUCCGGGGACCUCUGAGUCACCACUCCCAGUGGAAACCUGCCCGUGGCAGCCCACGGUGUGAAGACUACUUGACAUCGGGACGCCCGGGCCAUCAGGCGGAGCAGGGCGUGCGUCUCCUCUCCCUGCUGGCCGGCCCCGGGCGAGACUCCCUCGUCCCCUUGUGGAGGAUGGCCCCCCGC
rnacentral:lncRNA from 1 species